UACGGAGGAUCCAAGCGUUAUCCGGAUUUAUUGGGUUUAAAGGGUGCGUAGGUGGCUUUUUAAGUCAGGGGUGAAAGACGGUAGCUUAACUAUCGCAGUGCCUUUGAUACUGAAGAGCUUGAAUGAACUAGAGGUAGGCGGAAUGUGACAAGUAGCGGUGAAAUGCAUAGAUAUGUCACAGAACACCAAUUGCGAAGGCAGCUUACUACACGGAUAUUGACUCUGAGGCACGAAAGCGUGGGGAUCAAACAGG
rnacentral:rRNA from 1 species